rnacentral:rRNA from 1 species
UUUUUUACAACGAUGCCUGUAACGAAAAGCAUGUCUCUUGAGCUCUACGGAGCGCAAACAAUGUUAAUACAACUUUCAACAACGGAUCUCUUGGCUUUCGCAUCGAUGAAGAACGCCGCGAAAGUGCGAAACGUAAUGUGAAUUGCAGAAUUCAGUGAAUCAUCGAAUCUUUGAACGCAUCUUGCGCUCCUUGGUAUUCCGAGGAGCAUGCCUGUUUGAGUGUCGUGAAGUCUCUCGAGUCCGAGUCUCUUUUGACUCGGGGUUCGGAUUUGGACGUUUGCCGUUGUGAGACGGCUCGUCUCGAAAUGUAUUAGCCGUUCCCAUUUCCACAGACAACGGUGUGAUAAAUGAAAUUCGCUCGCGUUUUGUGGUAACGGGA